GUUUGAUUCCUGGCUCAGGACGAACGCUGGCGGCGUGCUUAACACAUGCAAGUCGAGCGGUAAGGCCCUUCGGGGUACACGAGCGGCGAACGGGUGAGUAACACGUGGGUGAUCUGCCUCGCACUUCGGGAUAAGCCUGGGAAACUGGGUCUAAUACCGGAUAUGACCAGGGACUGCAUGGUUUCUGGUGGAAAGAUUUAUCGGUGCGAGAUGGGCCCGCGGCCUAUCAGCUUGUUGGUGGGGUAAUGGCCUACCAAGGCGACGACGGGUAGCCGACCUGAGAGGGUGACCGGCCACACUGGGACUGAGACACGGCCCAGACUCCUACGGGAGGCAGCAGUGGGGAAUAUUGCACAAUGGGCGAAAGCCUGAUGCAGCGACGCCGCGUGAGGGAUGACGGCCUUCGGGUUGUAAACCUCUUUCGACAGGGACGAAGCGCAAGUGACGGUACCUGUAGAAGAAGCACCGGCCAACUACGUGCCAGCAGCCGCGGUAAUACGUAGGGUGCGAGCGUUGUCCGGAAUUACUGGGCGUAAAGAGCUUGUAGGCGGUCUGUCGCGUCUUCUGUGAAAACUCACAGCUCAACUGUGAGCUUGCAGGGGAUACGGGCAGACUAGAGUACUUCAGGGGAGACUGGAAUUCCUGGUGUAGCGGUGAAAUGCGCAGAUAUCAGGAGGAACACCGGUGGCGAAGGCGGGUCUCUGGGAAGUAACUGACGCUGAGAAGCGAAAGCGUGGGUAGCGAACAGGAUUAGAUACCCUGGUAGUCCACGCCGUAAACGGUGGGUACUAGGUGUGGGUUUCCUUCCACGGGAUCCGUGCCGUACCUAACGCA
rnacentral:rRNA from 1 species